rnacentral:lncRNA from 1 species
UGGCACAGAAAAGAGACCUGAAAACCAAUAGUUGAAGAACGACCAAGAGGCUGAGUAGAGAACCCAGGGCUCUGAUGAAAGCAGGAAAACUCAGCCUCUCUCCAGAGACCAAGUCCUAUGAUUUACAGCCAGCACUCCCCGGGACAGAGAAGGUAACCCAGGCGCCUGCUGAGGAGGAUGCAAGGCUGUGGCAGGCCCAGCAGACGCUGGGUCCCCUGAUGCCUGGAGUUCGAGGCACACAGAUUGCAGGGUACCAUAGCCUGGACUACCCCAGGGAGAGCAAGGUGACUCAAUGAGGACUCCUGUGCAGAGGCAGGAGGCAGGCUGUACCUGGGACCCUCCUUCUGUAGGCUCUGGCUCCUGGAGGCCUACAAAGCCCAGCUCUCCUCUAGUGCUAUGAGACAUCAAGUAUCAGGACACAGAAGAGACAAAGUUAGUGGGUGGAGGCAGCUCUUGGUAACAUACUUCAGACAAGCUACCAGAGCCCAUUAAGGAGGAGAAUUCCAGGAACCAAAACCAAGCUGAACAAGGAAGGGGAGAUGAGCAAAAGAGAAACCAGUUCCUGGUUAGAGAACCACCUUUUCUUCAACAAAUAUCCACUGCUCUCAUGAAGUGCUCUAGCAUUUGACAAAUAAUCUAACAACUAAUCAGUCACAAUCUUGAUCGAUGCUAUUAAAGAGAAGGAUGGUUUCUGCCAGAGUAGAGAUCUGACACGGCAUCAGGAGAGUCUCCCAAAGAAAGUAACAAACUGGGGCCAAUGUGCAUGAGGGUAUGCAGCUGGGCAGGUACUAUCCGUGGUGAAGCUAAUAAAAACACUAGGGUUGCAUACCCACUAUGUGCUGGACUCUGUUGUCCUUGUUCCUUCAUCCUUUUUCCACAAUGCACACAGUACAUAGCUCCCAACAAGGCAAAGGAGGUUGCCUGUGGUCAUGGGUGACACUCUGGGGAUCCUGACACCCCAAUUCCAGUGAUCAGUACCAGCAUGAGAUUAUGAGCCAGAAAGGUAAGAGGCAAUAUCCCUGCCUCCUGGAUCUACUCUAGAAUGUAGCAAGGAAACUGCCUAAGGGGCAACAGUGUGUCUCUUCUCUACCUCUAGGGAAAUGCUCUGGAACCUGCCAAGGCAGCUGACCCAUCCUUUCUUGAAGCUUCCCCCAGUCAUCCUUUUCUGCCUCUCCCAACUAUCACCAGACUGAAUCCUACCUGCAGCUACUUGGUGGGUUCACAUCCUCUGGCUGACUGUCAGGAGACACUGAGAGCGCCAAUCACACCCUUCUGUGGGACGCCAUUAUAAAUUAAGAAAGAGGGUCUUGCUAGUUCAGCAAGCCUAAAAAAUCUAGAAUUUCUGUGUUUUUUCAUAUUCUCUCACAGAGCAAGAG